UAGUACGGCGAGUGAGAGGGAAGAGCCCAAGAUUGAAAGCUGGCGUCUUCGGCGUCCGCAUUGUAAUCUCAAGAAGUGUUUUCCGCUUCGGACCAAGCCUAAGUCCCCUGGAAAGGGGCAUCAUAGAGGGUGAUAAUCCCGUACAUGGCUUGGAGCGCCCGAGGCUUUGUGAUACGCUUUCUAAGAGUCGAGUUGUUUGGGAAUGCAGCUCAAAAUGGGUGGUAAAUGCCAUCUAAGGCUAAAUAUUGGGGAGAGACCGAUAGCGAACAAGUACCGUGAGGGAAAGAUGAAAAGAACUUUGGAAAGAGAGUUAAAAGUACGUGAAAUUGUUAAAAGGGAAGCGAUUGAAGUCAGUCGUGUGGGAGGUAUUCGGCCGUCUCUGGCGGUGUAUUUGCCUCUCACGGGUCAACAUCAGUUUGAUCCGGCAGAAAAAGGCGGGAGGAAGGUGGCACCCUCGGGUGUGUUAUAGCCUCCUGUCAUAUAUGCCGGACCAGACUGAGGAACGCAGCUCGCAGCAAUGCCGGGGUUCGCCCACGUACGAGCUUAGGAUGUUGACAUAAUGGCUUUAAACGACCCGUCUUGA
rnacentral:rRNA from 1 species